GACGAACGCUGGCGGCGUGCUUAACACAUGCAAGUCGAGCGAUGAAGUUCCUUCAGGAAUGGAUUAGCGGCGGACGGGUGAGUAACACGUGGGUAACCUGCCUCAUAGAGGGGAUUAGCCUUCCGAAAGGAAGAUUAAUACCGCAUAAGAUUGCAGUAUCGCAUGAUAUAGCAAUUAAAGGAGUAAUCCGCUAUGAGAUGGACCCGCGUCGCAUUAGCUAGUUGGUGAGGUAACGGCGCACCAAGGCGACGAUGCGUAGCCGACCUGAGAGGGUGAUCGGCCACAUUGGGACUGAGACACGGCCCAGAAUCAUACGGGAGGCAGCAGUGGGGAAUAUUGCACAAUGGGGGAAACCCUGAUGCAGCAACGCCGCGUGAGUGAUGACGGUCUUCGGAUUGUAAAACUCUGUCUUCAGGGACGAUAAUGACGGUACCUGAGGAGGAAGCCACGGCUAACUACGUGCCAGCCGCCGCCGUAA
rnacentral:rRNA from 1 species